AUUGAACGCUGGCGGCAUGCCUUACACAUGCAAGUCGAACGGCAGCACGGGAGCAAUCCUGGUGGCGAGUGGCGAACGGGUGAGUAAUAUAUCGGAACGUGCCCAGUAGUGGGGGAUAGCCCGGCGAAAGCCGGAUUAAUACCGCAUACGACCUGAGGGUGAAAGCGGGGGAUCGCAAGACCUCGCGCUAUUGGAGCGGCCGAUAUCAGAUUAGCUAGUUGGUGGGGUAAAGGCCUACCAAGGCUACGAUCUGUAGUUGGUCUGAGAGGACGACCAGCCACACUGGGACUGAGACACGGCCCAGACUCCUACGGGAGGCAGCAGUGGGGAAUUUUGGACAAUGGGCGCAAGCCUGAUCCAGCCAUUCCGCGUGCAGGAUGAAGGCCUUCGGGUUGUAAACUGCUUUGUACGGUAACGAAACGGCGAGCUCUAAUACAGUUUGCUAAUGACGGUACCGUAAGAAUAAGCAACCGGCUAACUACGUGCCAGCAGCCGC
rnacentral:rRNA from 1 species